rnacentral:rRNA from 1 species
CCUACGGGAGGCUGCAGUGGGGAAUAUUGCACAAUGGGCGCAAGCCUGAUGCAGCCAUGCCGCGUGUGUGAAGAAGGCCUUCGGGUUGUAAAGCACUUUCAGCGGGGAGGAAGGCGUUAAGGUUAAUAACCUUGGCGAUUGACGUUACCCGCAGAAGAAGCACCGGCUAACUCCGCGCCAGCAGCCGCGGUAAUACGGAGGGUGCAAGCGUUAAUCGGAAUUACUGGGCGUAAAGCGCACGCAGGCGGUCUGUCAAGUCGGAUGUGAAAUCCCCGGGCUCAACCUGGGAACUGCAUUCGAAACUGGCAGGCUAGAGUCUUGUAGAGGGGGGUAGAAUUCCAGGUGUAGCGGUGAAAUGCGUAGAGAUCUGGUGGAAUACCGGUGGCGAAGGCGGCCCCCUGGACAAAGACCGACGCUCAGGUGCGAAAGCGUGGGGAGCAAACAGGAUUAGAUACCCGUGUAGUC